GUACACAUGGCCUAAUGGAUAAAGCGUCUGACUUCAGAUCAGAAGAUUGCAAAUUUGAGUCCUGCUGUGGUCA
rnacentral:tRNA from 1 species